GCUAGAUCCAUGGUAAUGUUAAUGGAGCUUAAAAUACUUGCUACAAGGAACUAGGUGAGGAGUCAGCUGCUACUCUCCCUCUAGCCCUUCCUCAGCAGUCUUGGGAAAUGCUAAAGUGUACAGAAAGAGGGAGAUUAAUGAAAGGGGUGCUCUAUGAUGCAGCUUCCAUGAGUCCAUCACCCAUGAUGAUGUGGGUCUUUGUGGUGAGGCCACCUCCACACUUUGCACCUUCCAGCACUUUGAAAGCUAGCCAGCAGAGAUGAAGCUUCUAGAUUGGUACCAUCUUGGUUAUUCAAAUUCUAUCACUCAGGAUCUCUUGUAGCUCAGACUGGCCUCCAACUGACCUGAUGAUGAUUCCUGAAUUCCUGAUCCUCAAACUUCUACCUUCCAAGUGAAAAUAUUAGAGGGAUGUACCACCUUGCCUUGCUGGAAGUGGUUUUUCUACUUUAAGCAGUGCUACAUGCAUCCCAUGAUUAAAAUCUCUAAUUUCCAUAGAUUUUCCUGGGAAACCCAUCUGUUGUGAAAUGUUAUUUUAAGAUAUGUUACAUUUGUUUAUGCUCUGGAACAUUUGUUUAAUGAUGCAAAGAUGUUUUGCAUUCUUUUAUGUUGCAUUUGUUUAACUCUGUGAAGCUGUGUUACUUUGCCUGUCUAAAACACCUGAUGGUCUAAUAAAGAGCUGAAUGGCCAAUAGCGAGGCAGGAGAAAGGAUAGGUGGGGAUGGCAGGCAAAGAGAAUAAAUAGGAGGAGAAAUCUGGGAGGAAAAGAAGAAGUAGCCAGAGAAAGAGGAAGGCAUCAUGGGCCAACCACACAGCCACACAGCCACACAGCCAGCCAUGGAGUAAGGGUGAAAAUAAGAUUACAGAAGUAAGAAAAGUAAAAAGCCCAGAAGCAAAAGGUAGAAGGGAUAAAUUAAAAUUAAGAAAAGCUGUCAAGAAACAAGCCAAAUUAAGGCUGGGCAUUUAUAAUUAAGAAUAAGCCUCCAUGUGUGAUUUAUUUGGGAGCUGGGUGGUGGGCCCCCCAAAAAGACAAAUAGUAUAAAGAGUGAAAACAAACAACAACAUCAAUAUCUUAUGAUCUGGCCUUUGUUUACUUCCUCAAGAAUUAUCUGUCAUUCCACACACUACUUUAUUACCUCUGGUACCACAAGCACACUGCUCUUAAGCCACACCAAGGCUUCUGUCCUCCCUGCAUGCAUCCACACAUGCUCUGCUACUGGAGAGCCCUCUCAGUCCUCAUCCAUGAUGCCUUUUUGCCCCCUAUAUCAUCUGAGAAGUUGUACAUGCAUGUGUGUGCAUACACAUGUGAGUGCAUGUAUGUAUGUGUGUGUGGUAUAGUAUGUGAGUGUGCAUGGUGUGCAUGGUGUGCAUGAUGAUAGUACAUUUCUGUGGUAUGUGUGCAGAUAUACAUGGAGUCCAGAGGUCAACUUAUGAUGUGGUUCUGCAGGUUUUGCCCAUAUUAAUUUUUGAGGAAGAGUCUCUCACUUGGCUAGUCCCCGGGAUCUGCUUGUCUCUGCAUCCACAUCACUGGGAAUACAAACAUCCACCACCACACCUGGCUUUUUUUUUUAAACAUGGGUUCUGGACAUCCAACUCAGGUUUUCAAGUUUACAGGAAAAGUGCUUUAUUGACUGAGCUAUUUCUCUGGCCACAUGGGUGACAUUCAAUCAGUACAUGGCUAAAUGAAUGAAGAAAUCUCCUCCUUGAGGGGAUGGCCAUGAAAAUCAUAUGGGCAUACACAUGAUUUGUAGUAUCCAUAAUAUUCCAAAAAACAAAAGUUCUGCUGAGAAAAGCCUGGAUAAGGACACCAGCUGAUGGUUUGGGCAGCAUUGUGGGAAGUAACAAAGAUGAUCUAUUACCCAGAGCUCUCUAGAGGAGCAGAACCUGUAGCUAGAGUCUUCCUGCCUGGCCCACAGUCAGGACAAAUCUCUCUCAUCUGCCAGUCCCACAGCUGCUCAGAUCCAACCAAGUAAACACACAGAGACUUAUAUUACUUAUAAACUGUAUGGCCAUGGCAGCCUUCUAGCUAGCUGUCCGAUAUCUUAAAUUAACCCAUUUCUAUUAAUCUAUAAGUUGCCACGUAGCUUGUGCCUUACUGGUAUCUUAACAUCUUCUCACGGCGGCGGCUGGCAGCAUCUCUCUGCCUCAGCCUUCCACUUCCCAGAAUUCUCUUCUCUCCUUGCCAUGCAUAUACUUCCUUCCUGGAUACUGGCCAAUCAGAGUUUUAUUUAUUAACCAAUCAGAAUAACACAUUUAACAUACAGAACAUCCCACAGCAAGAACCAACAAAACAAACGUGUAUUACACAGAUAGAUUUAUUAUGUUGGCUAACAUGAUACAAAGUGGUCCACAAAUGGCCAUUUCCUGGCAGGAGAGACUGAGAACCCUGUAGCUGGUCAGUUCCUAAGGCUGGCAUCUCAGUAGUCACAAUCAGAUUACUAAAGCCUGGAAAUUUUCUGGAUAGCAGCUGGUCUUCAGUCCAUGUUGGAAGGCUGAAGAAACCGGUUUCUGAUGGCAAUUAAGGAAGAAUACAAACAAAAAUUCAAAAUUGGAAAUACAAUUCUUACUGAACAUAUACCACUUUUGCACCGUCACGUGACUGGAAUCUUGUAAGUUGAACCCUAUUAAGUUGGAAACUGUCUGAAUGCAAAUCAUCUCCUUCAUUUUGUCUCUAGAGCCACAAGGUAUGAAAUGUUCACCAUACAGAGACUUGGUAGAGUUUUCAGAGCCCUGUUCUGAGGAGCACAACCAGGAAGCUCUCUUCCUUAUCUCCCUCAUCUAAGGACCUUCCACAAAGCACACUCAGGUGAGGGGGUGAAGAAGGAGUACAUAGAACUCUGCUCGUGAGACCAGAGGAGGGCAGAGGGACACAGAAUCUUCACAGGAAGAACAGAGACAGCCAGCCAUGCCCAGGACAGCUUCACACUGAGCAGAGUUCACCACGUUCUUUUACAGCAGUGAGAUAGAGGCAUGAAAUCCUGCACCAGGAACUCUCAGCAUGUAGGAGCAGAAGCAAAGAGUAGAGAGAAGACCAUGAACCAAGGUCAUAAAGAACAGAAGCUUCAAAGAACAGAAGCUUCAAAGAACAAGAGACUUGGCUUCUGAGCCACUAUAGAUAAUCUAUUAACCUCUCUGUUUCCUAAGUGACUCAUCUGUGAAAAAGUGGCAAUGUGCCUUCAUUGCAGAAGUGAAGACAGGCAUAUGAAGUUGCUGUAUAGUUAUUUCCUCAUAAUUAAAACAUUAAGACCAAUAAAGUAUACUAAUGUAUUUUCUGUUGCUGCAAUAAACUGCUCUGAUAAAAACAACUAAACAAUGAUGUGAUUAUUUUGGCUUA